AUUUUUAAAGUCUUAUCUCAUGCUACAAGUAUUAUAAAUACUUUGUUCAUUAUAUAAUACGAUCUAUUUGUGUGCGCGUGUGUAUGAGCGAGUAUAAGUAAAUAAAUAUAAGCAAAUAGCUUAAGAGAUUAUAAUACAAUGCAAUAGCUACGAGGCAAAUAAUUUGUAGCCAUUUUGAACAAUCAAAGUGUUCCAAAGACUUUAUACAGCACAUAAAGAUGGUCCGUGUCAAUUGGACAAUGCGUUGGUUGUUGCAGAUGUGCGUUUAUAAGCGGGCCAUUAUGCUUUGGAUUAGGCUUUUUGUUAAGUAGUUAUAUAAGCAUGUAUCUUGACCAGCGACAUCUAUUAGCGAAAAUGAUAAAGCAAUGCCAUUCGAAAAGUUUGAAUAUCAAGGUUCGACUGCUUGCCAGGGAAAGAAAGAAGU